CCUACGGGAGGCAGCAGUGGGGAAUAUUGCGCAAUGGGCGAAAGCUUGACGCAGCAACGCCGCGUGCGGGAUGAAGGCCUUCGGGUUGUAAACCGCUUUCAGCAGGGACGAGAGUGACGGUACCUGCAGAAGAAGCCCCGGCUAAAUACGUGCCAGCAGCCGCGGUAAUACGUAUGGGGCGAGCGUUAUCCGGAUUCAUUGGGCGUAAAGCGCGCGUAGGCGGCUUGGCAAGUCAGAUGUGAAAACUGGGGGCUCAACCCGCAGACUGCAUUUGAAACUGCCUUGCUUGAGUCUGGUAGAGGAAAGUGGAAUUGCUAGUGUAGCGGUGAAAUGCGCAGAUAUUAGCAGGAACACCAGUGGCGAAGGCGGCUUUCUGGGCCACGACUGACGCUGAGGCGCGAAAGCUAGGGGAGCAAACAGGAUUAGAUACCCUGGUAGUCCUAGCCGUAAACGAUGGGCACUAGGUGUGGGGGAUCAUUGACGUCUUCCGUGCCGAAGCUAACGCAUUAAGUGCCCCGCCUGGGGAGUACGGCCGCAAAGCUAAAACUCAAAGGAAUUGACGG
rnacentral:rRNA from 1 species